CCUACGGGAGGCAGCAGUGAGGAAUAUUGGUCAAUGGUCGGGAGACUGAACCAGCCAAGCCGCGUGAGGGAUGAAGGUACAGAGUAUCGUAAACCUCUUUUGUCAGGGAACAAAGGCGGGGACGUGUCCCCGGAUGAGUGUACCUGAAGAAAAAGCAUCGGCUAACUCCGUGCCAGCAGCCGCGGUAAUACGGAGGAUGCGAGCGUUAUCCGGAUUUAUUGGGUUAAAAGGGUGCGCAGGCGGUCUGUUAAGUAAGAGGUAAAAGCCCGGGGCUCAACCCGGGCCCGCCGUUGAAACUGGCAGUCUCGAGUUGGAGAGAAGUAUGCGGAAUGCGCGGUGUAGCGGUGAAAUGCAUAGAUAUCGCGCAGAACUCCGAUUGCGAAGGCAGCAUGCCGGCUCCACACUGACGCUGAGGCACGAAAGCGUGGGUAUCGAACAGGAUUAGAUACCCCUGUAGUC
rnacentral:rRNA from 1 species